rnacentral:rRNA from 1 species
AUUGAACGCUGGCGGCAGGCCUAACACAUGCAAGUCGAGCGGACGAAGGGGGCUUGCUCCUGGCUUCUGUGGGGGACGGGCGAGUAAUUCCUAGGAAUAUGCCUGGUCGUGGGGGAUAACGUCAGGACACGGGCGCUUAUAUAGCACAGGAUCUGAGGUAGAACGGGGGGGAUCUUCGGAGAUAGCCGUUCUUGCUGUGCCUAGGUCGGUUUCUAGUUGGUGGGGUAAAGGCUUACCAAGGCGACGAUCCGUAACUGGUCUGAGAGGAUGAUAAGUCACACUGGAACUGAGACACGGUCCAGACUCCUACGGGAGGCAGCAGUAGGGAAUAUUGGACAAUGGGCGAAAGCCUGAUCCAGCCAUGCCGCGUGUGUGAUGAAGGUCUUCGGAUUGUAAAGCACUGUUAGUAGGGAGGAAGGGCAGUAAGUUAAUACCUGGCUGUUUUGACGGUACCUACAGAAUAAGCACCGGCUAACUACGUG